UCCCGGCAGUCCAAGUCGCAGCCACAGUUAUUGGGUCUAAAACAUCCGUAGCUUGCUUUGCAAGUCUGUUGUGAAAUUCUGUCUCUUAAGGGCAGAAAUGGCAAUAGAUACUGCUUAGCUAGAGACUGGGGGACGCGAGAAGUACAUUUGAGGUAGUGGUAAAAUACGUUAAUCUCAGGUGGACUAACGAUUAGCGAAGGCAUCUCGCGAUAACAGUUCUGACAGUGAGGGAUGAAGGCUAGGGGCGCAAAUU
rnacentral:rRNA from 1 species